rnacentral:lncRNA from 1 species
AAGAAAAUGCACAAAUUAAAGGUGAUGAUAAUGGUAUGUUUUGAUAUAAAUGUUUAGUAAUGUGUAAAUUGAUCAUCACCCAUAAAGAUGACAUCCUUGGUAAAGGGACAUUUGACUAUCAUACCGCUUCCAGAGAUUUUCUUUAAAGAAGAAGGACAAAUCUUCUCGAAUAUAUUGGCUUUGACUAGGACCAUCAACUAACAUACAUAAUACAUGUACAUAUGUAUAUGUAUAUAGCUAUUAAUGAUAUUUUUGUCCAGAAAAAUCACAACUCUUAGUUUAAUCCUGAACAUCAUAUUCAUUCAUCCUAAAUCUUAAAUAGGAUAGCUAGUCGUACAAAGGUUUGAAGCAAGGUUUGUCAUGCCAGUCAGUACCGUACUAUACCAGAUGUACAGUAUCGUACUAGUAUAGAACCGGUAUGCAAUCUUGUACUGUACUAACAUUUGGUACACCUCGCCAUCUCAUACCAUACCACAUAGCGAUACUAUAAUAGAAUAGUACCAGUAUAGGGUCCAAUACCGAAACAACGAACUUUGGUUUAAAGUUUAGCUUCUAGAAUUUUCAUCCGACUCUAAGUCUUGUGCUGAUCCUUGUUCACUGCAUAAUAGGGUGCUCCCCCACCUCCUUGACAUAUGACUACUAAAUUCCAAGAGUAUUGUCCAUGGCCAAUUUGCUUUGCGAUCAAGGAUAUGGACGUUCACCAAGGGUUUUUGACUUCGCUCUUCAUGAUGGCCUUUUCUGUCGUGGAAUUUGAACUAGAGAAAUGUAAAGAAGAUAUAUUUGAAGGCCAUUCAGCAAGGAAUAUUUUAAGGGAUAUGUGAAAAAAGAGUAUGGAAUCUGGAUCCUCUUUGUGGCCAAAACCCUAUGUCCAUGAAGUAAUUGGCUCACAUAAGGGGGGCCAUAGAGCAUCCAGGGUAGAGGAAGUCAAAUUGUGGUAUGGUGUAGGCUGUACGUAUGGCAAUGUCGUUCCCAAUCUCCUACGGUCCCACCUUUCUCAGGCC